rnacentral:lncRNA from 1 species
AAAACUAUUCCGGCUUCUGGCUUUUAAAGGGUACAUAAUAAGAUAUGUCUGCAGAAGUACUUGACUGCACUAACCCACAGAAAGUUGUCACCAGUCCACUAAAACACCCAUGAUGUGGUUUUCCAAAAUCAUUUUCCUCUAUGUUGAACAAUUACCAGCAGAGUGUGUGGUGUGGUGUUAAGGAUACAGGCGACUGUCCAUUUGCCUGCCAGCCAGCCUGCUGCUGGAUAGAACACAUAAAGGGCUGUCCGCACUUAGAUUAAUUGAUUCCUUCACAUGUGGAUUCAGUUCAGAGAAGCAGAGAAAUUGCUUGUUUUGACAAUGACGUGGCUCUCGCUCGCUCACUCGCAUCCAAAAGCCCUGCACACGACACUUAAACAGGGACGGUGUCGCCAUGGAGAGUGUUUAAAAACUCUGCUUCCUUUCUCUGAUGUUUUGGUACAUUAGCAUUAGCAUUAGCAGAGUUAAUUGCCAUGAACGUAAUGAUUAUGAAGAACCACUGGGGCCAUCAAUCUACAGAGACAUGUUCUCUGGACACAUAAUAAAAAAAAAAGGCAACUCUCAAAAUAUAACUUGUGCUCUUUAAAUCACUUAGACCAUGCUAAUAGCAGCGCUGUCUUCUUGAAAAAUAUUUUUCCCAUUGCAAGAAAAUAAAUACAUCACAGGCGGCAGGUGGAAAAAUCAUUAUUUUUGAUUUGAAUUUACCUUGCCUGUAGGUAUUGAUGCCGUAGCAGAGCAGGCACAACAGGCCAAAAUAGAAACAUGUAAACCCUUGGCUGUGGAGGGACUUCAUGAUGGCGUUUUCAUGUAUUUUGAUCAUACCCUCUGCACUCCCAGAAAGCCCCUCACAUGUUCCGCUGCAUAAGUGCUCAUGUCUAAUACCCUCAGAGGACGUUUUGGUCUGUCUCUAUGAGUCUAAUUUACGGAUAUCUGCAUGAAUUGGGAGGGCCUGGGGCCAACCAUCUCAUGUCUUUUGAGGGAAGGGGGUGGGCUGUUGCGUUAGGAGGCCCUUUCGGGACAGGAGCAGAUUUCAGAUAAGAUCGGCGGCAGGAAGUGGUGAGCCGGGCCGUUUGUUCUCGUUGGCCAUCUCUCAUGUUGCACUACUGAUUGGGAGGAAAGCUAAAAUUGCUUUCACCGGGGCUCACUCCAGCAGUAGGCAAUGAUAACUAACAAUGCCCCCGGGAGCUAGUUAAAGCUGCAUCACACGCGCUGGAAAACCACUUUAAUGUGGCAGCAUUAGGAAGCUGUCAGUUGGGUUGGUGGAGAAAACAGAUUCCAACUCAUCGCGGAAUUUGGAAAACAUUUGUUAUCGUCACUUUCGGGAAAUGCCAGCAAAAUGCAUAUAAUCAAGCGAGCAUUUAUAAUUUCAAUCUGAGCCGACUGUGAAGAAGAAAACGGGUUUUAACAUCAUUAAAGGGAGUAUACAAACAGAAAAUUACCGUGCCUCCCUCUGCUCUGCUCUCAAACCCUCUGCUGCCUUGCUCAGUCAUGGGGAUCAGGAGCUCUUGUCAUACAGCAAUGCAGCAGAUGAGCAGAGUCUCUCUUCUUUAACUUGUGUUAUAUUGCAGGUUCAGCUCAGUGGAUGUAUUCUGGUCUUUGAAUUAUUGACUUGUAGAUGUCAUUUCUCUCUGUGUGUGCAAGUUAAAUUAGAGCUAUUCCUUGUGACUGUUAAUCACACCAAAGUCUAUUUCUUUAACUGGAUGUUGAGUACUCAAAGGAAGUUCCCUAGCUUAUUUGUUUACUUUACACAUUCAGGUAGUCGCCUAAUCAUCUUAUGUUCACUGAGAGAUUAAUGUUUAUUUUUUCCCAGGGAGGUGUAAUGAAUCAACAAAAUAAUAAUAAUGAAUAACACGGCAAAUAUUAUAUUAGAUGACAAUUUUAAAUUUAUGUGGUAAAACCAUUAGCUGUUGAAAAGCAUAGCCUCGUGGUUUAAGUGUGCGCAUGUACGCAGGCAGUCCAAAACCUCAAAGUCUGAUGUCACCUACUGGAAUUGAAGAGGUGUUAUGAAGCCCAAUUACUGACAGCACCAACCCACAGAUAUUGACUGCUGACCCCAACUAACCUCAUGCUAAACUAGAAACUGGUAACAAAGCAGUGUCUCAGCAAAAAGGAAAAGUAAAGUCAGUCAUCUUGCUGCCUGGUGAAUACCUACAACUUCCCAGCAUGCCGUCAAAUCAGCCAGGCCGCCUUAUCCUGAAUAAACCCGAGCCUAAACAUUUAUAUUUAAAAAAUAGGAAUGAUCAGCUGUUAUUACAGAUUAAGAUUAAAGAAAUGUGAUAAAAAGAGCAGAGCUGUUUGGUUCACUUGAUCAACUUUUGCAAUGGCCUCAUUUUUCAACACCGCCGCUUACCGCUCAGGUAGAACAGGUUUGGGUUAGUACAGGAACCAACAGUUUUAAUUAUUUAUGAUUUAUUUGGCUGUUUACCUUUGCUUUUCUC